rnacentral:misc_RNA from 1 species
AAAAACCCAAAGAGGUUAACUGUGAACCCAGAAGAUUGGGCGUCAACCUUUGGAACUGAUUUUAUUCGCAACUCCAAGGUCCCAGACAUUGAUUUUGCCUCUGUUCAUAUAUACCCUGAUCAUUGGGUUCAACAUCAAACAUUUGAAGAGAAGCUGACAUUUGUGUCCAAGUGGAUGCUUUCUCACAUUGAAGAUGGUCAUUAUGAACUGAAUAAGCCAGUCUUUUUCACCGAGUAUGGAUUCUCUAACCUGAACAAUGACUUCCAGCCAUCUCAACGUGAAAGGUUUUACAAAACUGUUUUAGACAUCAUCUAUAAAUCUGCAAAGAGAAAACGAGCUGGGGCAGGUGCAUUGGUCUGGCAAUUGUUUGUCGAAGGAAUGGAAGAGUUUAAUGAUGAUUUUGGGAUUGUCCCAUGGGAAAGACCAUCAACAUAUAAAUACUUUACUAAACAAUCAUGCAGCUUGGCCAGAUUGCAGGGAAUUCCUCUGCAAAAUCAAAUUUAUAGAGAGUUGUGUUUGCAGAGACAGUAAAAAUUGAGUUCUAUUAAAAUGUUCAAAAUCCGUGGGAGAUUAUUAUGUUUCUAAUUUGUUGUGCCUGGUCACUCCAGGAAGGGAUACAGGUCACUUUUUUUAAUUCAUAUUCUUCCAAAUUCUACACAAAUUAUGUAAUUCAUGUUAGGUUAGACAAGUGUAGGUAUAUUGCAGCAGAGAUAAACACUGCUGCAAAAUCUGUGUUCAAGAUCUUGCUAUGAGAGAUCUAUGGAUUUAAAUCACAGCUAAAAUUGAUAUACAGCGAACAGAAGCCCUAAUCUAAUUGCACUCUGA